AUUGAACGCUGGCGGCAGGCUUAACACAUGCAAGUCGAACGAGUGGCGGACGGGUGAGUAAUGCUUGGGAAUCUAGCUAAUGGAGGGGUAUAACUACGGGAAACUGUAGCUAAUACCGCGAACCAUAGGAUGAGCCCACGUGGGAUUAGGUAGUUGGUGUGGUAAAGGCUCACCAAGCCGACGAUCUCUAGCUGGUCUGAGAGGAUGACCAGCCACACUGGGACUGAGACACGGCCCAGACUCCUACGGGAGGCAGCAGUGGGGAAUAUUGCACAAUGGGCGAAAGCCUGAUGCAGCCAUGCCGCGUGUAUGAAGAAGGCCUUAGGGUUGUAAAGUACUUUCAGUGGGGAGGCGUUACCCGAAGAAGAAGCACCGGCUAACUCCGUGCCAGCAGCCGCGGUAAUUC
rnacentral:rRNA from 1 species